GGAGACUGAGGCAGGAGAAUCGCUUGAACCCGGGAGGCAGAGAUUGCAGUGAGUAGAGAUCGAGCCAUUGCACUCCAGUCUGGCAACAGAGCGAGACUCCAUCUAAAAAAAUUUUAAAAACAUCAAUGUCUGUCAGCAUGGAUUGACAAGCACCCUGGACUUUGGAUGACUUCCCUACAGCCCCAGCUGGGCCUGGCUGGCUGUCUCCCUUCUUCACUUGGCCACAGCAUAACCUGCAGUCAAGCCACAAGAGUGACCUCAAGGCCUCAGACCACUUUUCCAGCCUCAGCUUUUCUUAUGGGUCCAGCCCACUUACAGCAGAAAGUUGCCAACGUUUGGGCUGCCAUAUCACUUCUGCAAGAUGUCGGGGCCCUGCACAGCUGCUCAGACCCCAAUGCUGGAGCAUCCUGGGACCUGGAGAGACCAGGUAUCCACGUAUCAGAAAAAGCUGGCUGGGCACGGUGGCUCCCGCCUGUAAUCCAGCACUUUGGGAGACUGAGGAGAGUGGAUCACCUGAGGUCAGGAGUUCGAGACCAACACGAAGCCUGACCAACAUGGAGAAACCCUGUCUCAACUAAAAAUAUAAAAUUAGCUGAGUGUGGUGGCGCAUGGCUAU
rnacentral:lncRNA from 13 species